UGGAUAUGACUGAAUUAUCUUAGGGAAAAAAUGAUGUAACAAUUGCAAAAUUACUUCAGAUAGUCAUAAAGUUCUGAUUCAG